GAUGAACGCUAGCGGCAGGCUUAACACAUGCAAGUCGAGGGGUAUAGUUCUUCGGAACUAGAGACCGGCGCACGGGUGCGUAACGCGUAUGCAAUCUACCUUUUGCAGAGGGAUAGCCCCAGAGAAAUUUGGAUUAAUACCUCAUAGUAUAGCAGUUUCGCAUGAAACCACUAUUAAAGUCACAACGGCAAAAGAUGAGCAUGCGUCCCAUUAGCUAGUUGGUAAGGUAACGGCUUACCAAGGCUACGAUGGGUAGGGGUCCUGAGAGGGAGAUCCCCCCACACUGGUACUGAGACACGGACAGACUCCGUACGGGAGGCAGCAGUGAGAAU
rnacentral:rRNA from 1 species